rnacentral:rRNA from 1 species
AGUUUGAUCCUGGCUCAGGACGAACGCUGGCGGCGUGCUUAACACAUGCAAGUCGAACGGUGAUGUCAGAGCUUGCUCUGGCGGAUCAGUGGCGAACGGGUGAGUAACACGUGAGUAACCUGCCCCCGACUCUGGGAUAACUGCUAGAAAUGGUAGCUAAUACCGGAUAUGACGACUGGCCGCAUGGUCUGGUCGUGGAAAGAAUUUCGGUUGGGGAUGGACUCGCGGCCUAUCAGGUUGUUGGUGAGGUAAUGGCUCACCAAGCCUACGACGGGUAGCCGGCCUGAGAGGGUGACCGGCCACACUGGGACUGAGACACGGCCCAGACUCCUACGGGAGGCAGCAGUGGGGAAUAUUGCACAAUGGGCGAAAGCCUGAUGCAGCAACGCCGCGUGAGGGAUGACGGCCUUCGGGUUGUAAACCUCUUUUAGUAGGGAAGAAGCGAAAGUG